UCGCCUGUUUUAACAAAAACAUGGCUUUUUGAGUAUAAUUUAAGGUCUAGCCUGCCCACUGAAAAUUUAAAUGGCCGCGGUAAUUUGACCGUGCAAAGGUAGCAUAAUCAUUAGUUUUUUAAUUGAAAGCUGGAAUGAAUGGUUGGAUGAGAAAAAAACUGUCUCUAUUUAAUUUUUUUAAAAAAUUUAUUUUUAAGUAAAAAAGCUUAAAUUUAUUUAGAAGACGAGAAGACCCUAUAGAGUUUUAUAUAAUUAAUUAUUAAUAUUUUUAGUAUUAUAAAUUUUAAUUUUUAUUUGUAUUUAAUUGGGGUGAUUGAAAAAUUUAAUUAACUUUUUUUAUAUAAAUACAUUAAUGAAUGAUUUUUUGAUCCAUUUUUUAUGAUUAUAAGAUAAAAUUACCUUAGGGAUAACAGCGUAAUUUUUUUUGAGAGUUCAAAUCGAUAAAAAAGAUUGCGACCUCGAUGUUGGAUUAAAAUUAAUUCUUGGUGUAGAAGUUAAGAAUUUUUUAGGUUCUGUUCGGACCCUUUAUU
rnacentral:rRNA from 1 species